rnacentral:rRNA from 1 species
AACGAAGGGGGCUAGCGUUGCUCGGAAUCACUGGGCGUAAAGCGCACGUAGGCGGCUUUCUAAGUCAGGGGUGAAAUCCUGGAGCUCAACUCCAGAACUGCCUUUGAUACUGGAGAGCUUGAGUCCGGGAGAGGUGAGUGGAACUCCGAGUGUAGAGGUGAAAUUCGUAGAUAUUCGGAAGAACACCAGUGGCGAAGGCGGCUCACUGGCCCGGUACUGACGCUGAUGUGCGAAAGCGUGGGGAGCAAACAGG